rnacentral:rRNA from 1 species
UACGUAGGGGGCUAGCGUUGUCCGGAAUCAUUGAGCGUAAAGCGCGUGUAGGCGGUCCGGUAAGUCCGCUGUGAAAGUCGAGGGCUCAACCCUCGAAUGCCGGUGGAUACUGUCGGGCUAGAGUGCGGAAGAGGCGAGUGGAAUUCCUGGUGUAGCGGUGAAAUGCGCAGAUAUCAGGAGGAACACCUAUUGCGAAGGCAGCUCGCUGGGACGUUACUGACGCUGAGACGCGAAAGCGUGGGGAGCAAACAGG